AUUGAACGCUGGCGGCAGGCCUAACACAUGCAAGUCGAGCGGAUGAAGGGAGCUUGCUCCUGGAUUCAGCGGCGGACGGGUGAGUAAUGCCUAGGAAUCUGCCUGGUAGUGGGGGAUAACGUCCGGAAACGGGCGCUAAUACCGCAUACGUCCUGAGGGAGAAAGUGGGGGAUCUUCGGACCUCACGCUAUCAGAUGAGCCUAGGUCGGAUUAGCUAGUUGGUGGGGUAAAGGCCUACCAAGGCGACGAUCCGUAACUGGUCUGAGAGGAUGAUCAGUCACAGUGGAACUGAGACACGGUACAGACUGCAACGGGAUGCAGCGGGGGGGAAUAUUGGAAAAUGGGCGAAAGCCUGAACCAACCAUGCAGAGUGGGUGAAGAAGGUCUUCGUAUUGUAAAGCACUUUAAGUUGGGAGGAAGGGAAGUAAGUUAAUACCUUGCGGGUUGGACGUUACCAAAAGAAUAAGCACGGGCUAACUUCGGG
rnacentral:rRNA from 1 species